GACGAACCGUGCGAACGUUAUUCGGAAUCACUGGGCUUAAAGCGCGUGUAGGCGGGACGGCACGUCGGUCGCUGAAAGCCCCCGGCUCAACCGGGGAACGGGCGCCGAUACGACCGCCCUGGAGGGACGUAGGGGGACCUGGAACUUCCGGUGGAGCGGUGAAAUGCGUUGAGAUCGGAAGGAACGCCCGUGGCGAAAGCGGCGUACUGGACCUCUUCUGACGCUGAGGCGCGAAAGCUAGGGGAGCAAACGGG
rnacentral:rRNA from 1 species